rnacentral:rRNA from 1 species
CAGCAGCCGCGGUAAUACGAAGGGUGCAAGCGUUAAUCGGAAUUACUGGGCGUAAAGCGUGCGUAGGCGGUGAGUUAAGUCUGCUGUGAAAUCCCCGGGCUCAACCUGGGAAUGGCAGUGGAUACUGGCUCGCUAGAGUGUGUCAGAAGAUGGUGGAAUUCCCGGUGUAGCGGUGAAAUGCGUAGAGAUCGGAAGGAACAUCUGUGGCGAAGGCGACUAUCUGGGCCAACACUGACACUGAGACACGAAAGCGUGGGGAGCAAACAGGAUUAGAUACCCCUGUAGUCCCUGUCUCUUAUAC